GUCGCCGCCUCUUGGCGGCCAUUUUAACUGCUCUGGGGCUGUGGCUCCGGAGCGCUGGGCAGGGACUGAGGAGACGGGAUUGAGAAGGUCCGAGAAGCGUCGUGGUCCACGCGGCACAGAAGCGGGUCCGAGGCUCGGCGACGCCGCCCGGGGAGCCCCGCGCCGGGCCUGGGAUACGGACCCCCGCGCCCUUGUUCCCCUCCUCCCCCGCCGCUCCUGCCCUCAGACCCCGAUGGCGACGGCUGCGCUGAGGGACCCGCCGCAGGUGGAAACGGCCCCCCGCGGCUCACCAGUGUUGCUACCAGUGAGGCAAGGCACCUCCACCAGGGCAUGAGGAGAGAGAUGGGGGAUCAGCAUACUCAACCUGACUUCCAAAGACAGAAGGAAUUGCAGAUUUUUAUUUCGAACCAUAUUUUAAAGCUUUAAGAAGAUAUAAAUCAUGUGAAAUAAACUGCACAUACUUGAAUUUUACAA